GACGAACGCUGGCGGCGUGCUUAACACAUGCAAGUCGAACGGACAGGCCCUGCUUUUGUGGGGUGCUCGAGUGGCGAACGGGUGAGUAACACGUGAGUAACCUGCCCUUGACUUUGGGAUAACUUCAGGAAACUGGGGCUAAUACCGGAUAGGAGCUCCUGCUGCAUGGUGGUGGUUGGAAAGUUUCGGCGGUUGGGGAUGGACUCGCGGCUUAUCAGCUUGUUGGUGGGGUAGUGGCUUACCAAGGCUUUGACGGGUAGCCGGCCUGAGAGGGUGACCGGCCACAUUGGGACUGAGAUACGGCCCAGACUCCUACGGGAGGCAGCAGUGGGGAAUAUUGCACAAUGGGCGGAAGCCUGAUGCAGCAACGCCGCGUGCGGGAUGACGGCCUUCGGGUUGUAAACCGCUUUCGCCUGUGACGAAGCGUGAGUGACGGUAAUGGGUAAAGAAGCACCGGCUAACUACGUG
rnacentral:rRNA from 1 species